CAACCCCUCCAGCUUCCUUUUUCUAAACCCUGUUCUUUAGGCGUAAGGUGCCGAGCUCCUCCCUGCCCCCGCCCUGCCCCAAAUCACGUCUGUGCACACAUCCCCAAGGAGGAGAAGGGCUCAGUAUAACUCUGCAAAGAAACCGUCUCUACAAAUGCUCUUUUCAACCUCUGGAAUAAAAGCUCUCAGCCAUCAUAAAUGAAGAAGACAAGUAUGAACAGUAGAAGUCCUCUGCAAUGUGUGACAUAGAGUGAAGGUGAGGAGAGGUGGGCAAGCUGCUGGGAAUGGUUGUGCAGGUUGUGCACUGCAAAAACUCUGGGAGGUGUCAUUUACAUCAUAGUCCAGGGAGACAGAUGAGCUUGGAGAAGGCUCCUGUAGCAUCUGGACCAGGAGCCCCUGAGCUAAGCCAGUGGCACUAAAGAGGAUGCAGAGGAGGGACAGAUGGGAGAGAGUGACAGGAGGGAGAGCUGCUGGGGGUUAGCGGCACCUGAUGGUGCAGGACAGGGGUUUCAUGGAAUGGGUUUCUGGGUGGAUGAUCAUGUGAUUCAUUUCGAGCCAGGCAAGAAGACAGGCCACACAGCCUAAGUGCAAUGAAUGGCAAGAAAGGUAUUGACCUCUUUGACUCAAAAACAUGGCAGUGUUAGAGGUGGUAACAGAGAAGCAUGGUUGAGGCAAGAGACCUGGGAUUUUAACCCAAAGACGUGGAAUAAAGCAGAAGCAGCCUCAGGCUGGGCAAUGGAAGUCUCCCAACCCUAUUAGUUACAGGUGUGUGAUAAAACCCUUUCUCUCUGUAAUCUCUCGUGGGAGGUUCAAAGAAUGAGCGCCGUCACUCUUUGAGGUGAAGACACCACAUUUUAAAGAAGUGUCAUGCUUUUCACACAGUGAUCGAUAAGAACAAGAAUCUCUUAGAUGUGGGCGGGGGGGGGGGGGGUUGGGUUCUGGCCUUCUUACUUUCCUGACACCCGUCUAAGCUGGGUAUCCCCAUUCAAGAAGCGGUGGGGAGAACCUGAACCUCAGAGAAGUGCUUUCAAUAUUACUGCAAUGCCGGGAAGUCAGAAUUCAUUUUCACAUAGACUAUAAUUUGAAGCAAUAGGUCACAUUUAAAUAAGGGAGUUUCGAGAAAUAACCCAGCAGCUAGAGGGUUUAGCCACCUAGGCAAAGGCAAAAUUUUAAUGCCUCCCGUAUGUUUGACAGCAAAGGGAAAUGCAGUUAGAAUUAGGAAACCAUGUAAUUGGGAUGUAUAAAUAGACUGACAGAGUUUAGAAAAUCAAGAAACUAAGAGCAGUCUUAGCCGGAUGCCAGAUCUAAGCUUAGAGUAAAAUUAGAGUGUGAAAACCGUUUGACAACUCAUGAGUGUGAGCUCCACUCCCCCCAGUAACCAAAGAAGGAAAGCAUCUAGAAAUUGGUUUAACCACGCAGAAAGUUCCAUCUAUUAAAUACACAUGCAGCACUUGCUCAAGUUCUGUAUGUAUUUUAUACUGACCUCUGCAGUCACUUCUGACCCAAGGCUGUGCAAAUGUUUUAACGUGAAUGGUUUCCAUGACCCCCCCCAGUUUUGAUGUGAAACCACAGUGCUGGUCAGUGGACAGCCGCGGCACGUGUUGAAUGACUCCCCGCAGACUUCAUUUCAUUUAAAAAAAAACCAAAACCAUUCUGCCUCACUGCUAAUGUUCAGAUCUGAGACGAAGAAGGAGGUAAUUUUAUCUUUCAUCCUGUCAUGUGCUCCAAAUCCUAGAUCGUACACAGCGCGACGGCCCUGGAAGGAGCCUUAGGGGCUAAUGGCAUCAGCCUCUCCGUGCGCGGGUGACUGUGCAGCGGGCACGGUGUGAGAGCUCUGAGGGUCAGGCUCUAGACCCACUGCCAUUUAAGCUCUUCUUAGGUGGGUGAAGACCGGCUGGUCCGCGUCACACAGAAUCAUUUCAUGGGGGUCUCUGUCCGGAUUCGGGAAGGGCUGCAAUGAGCUCCUUGGUCAUCCCGGCUCUGGGUGUUUGUGCUUCGGAACAUCAUCCGGCAAACUGACCACAGCCUGGCCCCAAGGAGCUGUGUGUUGCUGCCCCGAGCCUGGUGGGGGCGGCUCUGCGGUGGGGGUGUUGGGCGACAACUCGCCUGCUUUGUGACGGCUGGUCCACGCUGCGGGGACUGGGGGACUCACGCGGGUGGACACCUCAUACAUCCUUCGUUCCAGCAGGCUGGUCUGAACUUCCCCUUGGUAGCUGGUCCAUCCAAACCAUGGGUCCCCCGUGCUCAGGGAACCAGAGUCGGUUUGGCCGUGAUGUUUCCCAACGCCAAAGGCAGCCCUUUCUCGCCCCCUGUGCAUGGCUGGAGAACAUCUGCCUCUAAACCCUCCGGGGCCAACCGGUCUCCCUGCGCCGCAGGAUUUCCACGAAGCCAGAUGGGCUGGUCUGUCCCCACCGUCCUAAGGACACCACUUCUACUUCAGGCUCUUGUGCGAUUCUGCGGACACACACGGGCUGUGGUGAGACUUAUUAGCGGAGGGACUGAAGUUUCGUAACCCAGCUUCGAGGUCCCCCGUGCCCCACGCUGUCUGUGCAGGUGCCUGACCUGACGCAGGCUUUGAGGGACCCUGGCUGAUCGAACGUGAAGCAAAGGGAAAAACAUUAGGGCAUCACCGGGACUUGGCAAGAGUGACUUAAAAACAACGCGGUAACCAAGCAGCCCACCUCCCCGUGGUCUGCUUCGCCCAGGCUGCUGACAGCUCCAGCCUCCCUCGUGGGAGGAAAGUCAACUCAGAACGUCCCCUGUCCACUGUUUUCCCCUUUCAAGAUCAGACAGUAAGACACACCCCUUUUCUGACCUCUGAGUGGAGUUGGGGUUAUUUGGAUUACAUAAUAAGAUCUCUCUCACUUUGAACAUUAGCCCAGUGAAUUUGAGACCUUAAAAGGUCUUUUCAAGGGCAGGUGACAGGGCCUUUUGGUACAUUUGUCUCUGGAUUUCUUCUACAUCCUGUUUUAUGUGUGGUUUGAUCAGCUGAUGGAUCAUGUGAUGUUUUGCUCCUUCAAAUGACAGAAAUAGAGACUCAGAAUAACCACACGGAGAAGCCUCUCGAAUGUUUACCAAACACAUUGCUCAAAAACAUGCUUUUCCACGGUUCACAUGCUUUUUAUGAAAGAGCCGCGAGAGGGUGGGCGUGGGGAGCCACGGGUAUCACGGAACUGGCCACACGUGGACCGCAGAGGUCUCCAGGCUACAAGGGGCCGUGUCUGCCGAAGCCCCGCCUGCUGACAAGAGGGGCCAGACCUCAAACACAAAAAACCCCUUUUGCUGGGCUGUGCCUCGCUUUGUUUGGAAACUUCAUUCCUAUUUUUAGGGGUCAGCUCACCUGCAAAAUAAGAGGCCAGAAGUCACAGCUCCUUAGAACGCUGUCCUGUGCAUGGGCGUGCUUAGAGAUUCAUGGAAGUAGAAAGGUUUUUAAAUAUAAGAACGUAUUUUUCAAGGUCAUGUCAUUGAAUAACAAGACUAUGAAUACUUUUUCUCUUGCAACACAGCCUCUUGGGCUCUCCCAGUUCAAUCUGAAUUAAGCAAAGAGACUGGUCAGAAAACUACUAAGUCUUCAAACCAUUUUGUUUCUAGACACUAAGAGUAUAUAAAAAAAAAAAAGUUACUCUUCCCCUCCUCCCCCUUUUUCCCAUAAGAAAAAAUCCCAAAUGUGGAGCAAUUAGGGUAGGGAGCUGUUGAGUUUUUUUUUCACUUGUUACUUUACGCUAUCUUUGAGGAACUUUUGUCACACUUGGGAAAUGUAAUGACUAUUCCAACCCCAAGAGAGAUCCAGAAAAGGCUGCCCAUGAGGACUGCAGAGCUGGACCCUCGCUGGGAAGUGCUUUGGGGUUUGGAGAACUUUCAACCAGUUGGAGCUUGACUCUGGUGGAGCCCCUUUCUGGGCCUCCCUCCUCGUGGGCCCUGCCCUCUGCACCUCCCAAAGUUAUUUAUUGGUAGGACGCAAAGAAUGAAAAAGUGUAUUUGCUACCAUACCAAAGCUUUCCUUCGCCCCACCCCGUAUAUCCUAAACAACACCGAAAGCUAUUCUUUCUGAGGGUAUCAGCCAUUCAUGGACAUCUCCAAAGCCAAGCCACGUGCUCAGGCCGAGCCCAUGAAACAAACGCAGAACAAGAAGAUCUUUGGGAGAAGGCGGACCCAACACAGGCAGCAAGGGGCCAUGCCUGGCUUCCACCCCGUUUUGUAAACCAAUGCCCGCCGCCCCCCCCCCCCCCCAAUGCCCAGAUGAAAGAAUCCCAGUCAGGCGAGAGGUUCUGGCCAGUAGGCAAACCUCUCAACAGGCCCCUGAGCCUCAGGCCAACAGGUAGAGCCCCAUCAUGACUUUCCUGCAGCGAGUCUUGCCUGGUUCUUUCCGCUCACUGCUCGGGCAUCCGAUGCCCCGGGCCAGCAAGCUCCGAGUGGAACAGAGCACACGACACCUUCAUGUGUUGAAGGACCUGGCUUAUGGCUCUCAAAAAAAGCAAGGAGGCCUCUGUCCUGGAAAACCUUCAGUAUAGAAAGACUGCUUCGAGCUGCCCCGACUCACUUCUCAGCGUUUGAAAACGACUUUGUGCCUCUGUCGUUUCAGGUUAGAUGUGUCUACAAGGAUCACCCAACACGGAGAAAGUCACGCUUGGUCUUUUUACAGCCCUUGACCUGUGACUUUCCCAGGCACCACGCCCUUCUAAUGAUACCUGUCCGCUAAGCGGCUGGCAAGGAAAAAGAAACCUGCGUUGGGGAAAUCUGGGUUUCUUGGCCAGCAAAGUCAAAGGUGUGGCCCUCCUUACUCUGAAAAGUGGGACGGAGCCGUGUCGUGUCCCCCUCCCCCUUCCGACCGCCUUUCCCAUCUGAGGGUGCCAACACCGUGUCCUGCUUUAGAAGCUAAGGCGUGCGUGGUAGGCCACGAAUGAAGUUAGCCCACGUGGAGGAACUGUGUGAGGGACGGCGUGCUUCAAGGCGGAAGGUACUGGACACGUCCCGCACGAGGUCUGUCACCAUGGUCCGGGUGUGGGGUGGCUUCCCGUGAUCUCUGAGACAGUGGCCACCUAUUUCUGGCCCGUUCAUCACCGACGGUGUCUCUGAGGUUCUAGCGGCACCUUCUAGUUGUGUAAUGAAGGCUCUCUAGCUGAGCUUUCCCUGACUUAGGAAGAGAUGGCUUUUUCAGUUUGAGCUUCACGUUCUAGCCCCACAAGCAUGAGAUAGUCACACAUGUUAAAAAAUACUGCUGUUUAAUUUUCUAGUCAUGUACUUUUAAAAAGCUGAUACAAUUAGACAUUUUUUUUCCCCAUCUUCUCAGAUCUGCCCCUGAAACCAGCCGAGAGCUACCCAUCUUAAUUCCCAGCACUCAUCUAUAUAGAGGAAAAGUCUCUCAGAGGAAGCACAUGAAAAUCUGUCCCCAUGGUGGACACACCCAAGGUCACUUGAUGUCCGGAAAUGUGAAUGCAGCCCUGUGAUGUUCAUGGCUGACUUUAUGCCCUUACAUUCUUUUUUUUUUUUUUUUAAAUGAGGAACAAUAUGAUUACACAGCACUGAAAA